rnacentral:rRNA from 1 species
CCUACGGGGUGCUGCAGUCGAGAAUCAUUCACAAUGGGGGAAACCCUGAUGGUGCGACGCCGCGUGGGGGAAUGAAGGUCUUCGGAUUGUAAACCCCUGUCAUGUGGGAGCAAAUUAAAAAGAUAGUACCACAAGAGGAAGAGACGGCUAACUCUGUGCCAGCAGCCGCGGUAAUACAGAGGUCUCAAGCGUUGUUCGGAAUCACUGGGCGUAAAGCGUGCGUAGGCUGUUUCGUAAGUCGUGUGUGAAAGGCGCGGGCUCAACCCGCGGACGGCACAUGAUACUGCGGGACUAGAGUGAUGGAGGGGGAACCGGAAUUCUCGGUGUAGCAGUGAAAUGCGUAGAUAUCGAGAGGAACACUCGUGGCGAAGGCGGGUUCCUGGACAUUAACUGACGCUGAGGCACGAAGGCCAGGGGAGCGAAAGGGAUUAGAUACCCGGGUAGUC